rnacentral:rRNA from 1 species
CCUACGGGCGACAGCAGUGAGGAAUAUUGGUCAAUGGACGAGAGCCUGAACCAGCCAAGCCGCGUGAAGGAAGAAGGCGCCAUGCGUCGUAAACUUCUUUUAUCUGGGAAUAAAGUGCUCCACGUGUGGCGUUGUGUGUGUACCCUAUGAAAAAGCAUCGGCUAACUCCGUGCCAGCAGCCGCGGUAAUACGGAGGAUGCGAGCGUUAUCCGGGUUUAUUGGGUUUAAAGGGUGCGUGGGCGGUCGGGAAAGUCAGCGGUAAAAGUUGCGGGCUCAACCCAGGAGUGCCGUUGAAACUGUCAGACUAGAGAAGAGGAGAGGUAGGCGGAAUGCGUGGUGUAGCGGUGAAAUGCAUAGAUAUCGCGAAGAACUCCGAUUGCGAAGGCAGCGUACUGGAGUGGAACUGACACUGAGGCACGAAAGCGUGGGUAUCGAACAGGAUUAGAUACCCCAGUAGUC